GAUGAAGUGCCUGAAAAAGGGUUAUCUUGAUAGGAUAAAUGAUAUAAAAUUAACAAUUUUAUCUUCAUUA
rnacentral:tRNA from 1 species